rnacentral:rRNA from 1 species
UGGGGAAUUUUGGACAAUGGGCGAAAGCCUGAUCCAGCAAUGCCGCGUGUGUGAAGAAGGCCUUCGGGUUGUAAAGCACUUUUGUCCGGAAAGAAAUCCUUGGCUCUAAUACAGUCGGGGGAUGACGGUACCGGAAGAAUAAGCACCGGCUAACUACGUGCCAGCAGCCGCGGUAAUACGUAGGGUGCAAGCGUUAAUCGGAAUUACUGGGCGUAAAGCGUGCGCAGGCGGUUUGCUAAGACCGAUGUGAAAUCCCCGGGCUCAACCUGGGAACUGCAUUGGUGACUGGCAGGCUAGAGUAUGGCAGAGGGGGGUAGAAUUCCACGUGGUAGCAGUGAAAUGCGUAGAGAUGUGGAGGAAUACCGAUGGCGAAGGCAGCCCCCUGGGCCAAUACUGACGCUCAUGCACGAAAGCGUGGGGGAGCAAAACAGGAUUAGAUACCCUGGUAGUCCACGCCCUAAAACGAUGUCAACUAGUUGUUGGGGAUUCAUUUCCUUAGUAACGUAGCUAACGCGUGAAGUUGACCGCCUGGGGGAGUACGGUCGCAAGAUUAAAACUCAAAUGAAUUG